GAGUUUGAUCUUGGCUCAGAGCGAACGCUGGCGGCAGGCUUAACACAUGCAAGUCGAGCGGGCACUUCGGUGUCAGCGGCAGACGGGUGAGUAACACGUGGGAACGUGCCCUUCGGUUCGGAAUAACUCAGGGAAACUUGAGCUAAUACCGGAUACGCCCUUUUGGGGAAAGGUUUACUGCCGAAGGAUCGGCCCGCGUCUGAUUAGCUUGUUGGUGGGGUAACGGCCUACCAAGGCGACGAUCAGUAGCUGGUCUGAGAGGAUGAUCAGCCACACUGGGACUGAGACACGGCCCAGACUCCUACGGGAGGCAGCAAUGGGGAAUAUUGGACAAUGGGCGCAAGCCUGAUCCAGCCAUGCCGCGUGAGUGAUGAAGGCCUUAGGGUUGUAAAGCUCUUUUGUCCGGACGAUAAUGACGGUACCGGAAGAAUAAGCCCCGGCUAACUUCGUGCCAGCCGCCGCAGUAAC
rnacentral:rRNA from 2 species